rnacentral:rRNA from 1 species
UACGGGGGGGGCAAGCGUUGUUCGGAAUUACUGGGCGUAAAGGGCUCGUAGGCGGCUCGCUAAGUCAGAUGUGAAAUACCCGAGCUUAACUUGGGUGCUGCAUUUGAAACUGGGUGUCUAGAGUGCAGGAGAGGUAAGUGGAAUUCCUAGUGUAGCGGUGAAAUGCGUAGAGAUUAGGAAGAACACCAGUGGCGAAGGCGACUUACUGGACUGUAACUGACGCUGAGGCAUGAAAGCGUGGGGAGCAAACAGG